rnacentral:rRNA from 1 species
AUUGAACGCUGGCGGCAGGCCUAACACAUGCAAGUCGAGCGGAUGAAGGGAGCUUGCUCCUGUCUUCCGCGGCCGACGGGCGAGUAAUGCAUAGGAAUCUGCCUGGUAGUGGGGGAUAACGUCAGGACACGGGCGCUAAUACCGCACACGUCCUGAGGGUGAAAGUGGGGGAUCUUCGGACCUCACGCUAUUUGCUGAGACUAGGACGGAUUAGCUAGUUGGUAGGGUAAAGGCCUACCAAGGCGACGAUCCGUAACUGGCCUGAGAGGAUGAUCGGUCACACUGGAACUGAGACACGGUCCAGACUCCUACGGGAGGCAGCAGUGGGGAAUAUUGGACAAUGGGCGAAAGCCUGACCCAGCCACGCCGCGUGUGUGAAGAAGGUCUUCGGAUUGUAAAGCACUUUUAGUAGGGAGGAAGGGCAGUAAGUUAAUACCUUGCUGUUUUGACGUUACCAACUGAGAAAGCACCGGCUAACUUCGUG